AUUGAACGCUGGCGGCAGGCCUAACACAUGCAAGUCGAACGGUAACAGGAAGAAGCUUGCUUCUUUGCUGACGAGUGGCGGACGGGUGAGUAAUGUCUGGGAAACUGCCUGAUGGAGGGGGAUAACUACUGGAAACGGUAGCUAAUACCGCAUAACGUCGCAAGACCAAAGAGGGGGACCUUCGGGCCUCUUGCCAUCGGAUGUGCCCAGAUGGGAUUAGCUAGUAGGUGGGGUAACGGCUCACCUAGGCGACGAUCCCUAGCUGGUCUGAGAGGAUGACCAGCCACACUGGAACUGAGACACGGUCCAGACUCCUACGGGAGGCAGCAGUGGGGAAUAUUGCACAAUGGGCGCAAGCCUGAUGCAGCCAUGCCGCGUGUAUGAAGAAGGCCUUCGGGUUGUAAAGUACUUUCAGCGGGGAGGAAGGGAGUAAAGUUAAUACCUUUGCUCAUUGACGUUACCCGCAGUAGAAGCACCGGCUAACUCCGUG
rnacentral:rRNA from 1 species